GAUGAACGCUGGCGGCGUGCCUAAUACAUGCAAGUCGAGCGAACGGACGAGAAGCUUGCUUCUCUGAUGUUAGCGGCGGACGGGUGAGUAACACGUGGAUAACCUACCUAUAAGACUGGGAUAGCUUCGGGAAACCGGAGCUAAUACCGGAUGAUAUUUUGAACCGCAUGGUUCAAAAGUGAAAGACGGUCUUGCUGUCACUUAUAGAUGGAUCCGCGCUGCAUUAGCUAGUUGGUAAGGUAACGGCUUACCAAGGCAACGAUGCAUAGCCGACCUGAGAGGGUGAUCGGCCACACGGGAACUGAGACACGGUCCAGACUCCUACGGGAGGCAGCAGUAGGGAAUCUUCCGCAAUGGGCGAAAGCCUGACGGAGCAACGCCGCGUGAGUGAUGAAGGUCUUCGGAUCGUAAAACUCUGUUAUUAGGGAAGAACAUAUGUGUAAGUAACUGUGCACAUCUUGACGGUACCUAAUCAGAAAGCCACGGCUAACUACGUG
rnacentral:rRNA from 1 species